GGCCUCAUGGCUCAAAGGUUGAGCACCAGGUAAUCAUGCAUGUAUAGACUUGUGCUUACCUGGAGGGGCUCGGUUCAAUUCCGAGUGGGGCCA